GUUAUAAUAUUUUUUUCUACCUAGAUUCAUUUAUGUUUUAAUGCAUAUUGUUGGUGUAGGGUCAUCUUGCCCUAUUCGCCCAAAACGGAAUUAGUAUAUUCAGGGUUUUUGAGUUCCAUUGCUAGGUGUAUAUAGAAAACAUUAACCCAAGUAUCCUUGUAAGAUUAUUCGAGUGUAGCAUGUAUUCCAAGUUAUUCGACUCUCCAACAUGAACGGGGCAAUGCUAUUAACAAGAGGCCAUAAGAAGUUGCCUAUUGAGUAUUUGCGGAGGGAUAAGAUGGGUCGAGCAAAGUGAAGCUACAAGUGGACUAGGUGCUUGAGGAGGAGAAUUCAACUAAAGGCGACAUGAAACUUACCGGUUUUGUUCUAGGGGGUUUUCUCAAGAUGCUUGGGGAUCAGCACUCAAGUGUUGUUGCCAGCUCAUAUGGUCCUAAAUAUUGUCUAGGUUACCAAAAUACCCUCAUGGUCGCUUUGUAUGUCAAGCACAUUCAUGUAACAUCCCCAAAAGAGUCCUAAGGCUAUAAAAGUCAGUCCUCCUCAAUGUAAAAACACAGAUUAUUUGAGAAAUAUAUUGAACAUUUCUAUACUUGA
rnacentral:lncRNA from 1 species